UUGUCCACCAGUAAGAAUGUUAAGGCAAAGGUAAGAAAAUGGAACUUUAGAGAGUUAGGGGAAAAUGUGGUUGUUCCCCUAGAGACAGAAUGUGCUCCUCUUUUUUUUUUUUUUUUGUCUUUUGUCUUUUUAGGGCCACACUCAUGGCAUAUGGAGGCUCCCAGGCCAGGGGUCUAAUCGGAGCUACAGCUGCCAGCCUACACCACCGCCACAGCAAAUGUCAGAUCCAAGCCAUGUCUGUGACCUACACCACAGCUCACGGCAAUGCUAGAUCCUUAACCCACUGAGCGAGGCCAGGGAUCAAACCUGCAACCUCAUGGUUCCUAGUCAGAUUCGUUUCCGCUGUGCCACAACGGAAACUCCCAGAAUGUGCUCCUCUUUGCUGUUCUCUGGCUCUAGCUAGAGAGAACAGUGGGGAAAAAUAAACACAUGAUGACUUCGAGUUUUAGUUAUCCCAUGACCCAAGAGGGAAUUUCUUACUUUAAGGAAGUAGAGCCAAGGGGAAAAUGGACAUAACGGGAAAGAUGGGAUUGUUGCCCCACACCUGGUCUGCCCGGCUGGUGAUUUUUAUAAUUGGCUCUACUUCUCUGGAGAACCCUGACUCAUUUACUGAUUCAGCUAAAGGAGGAGAGAGACUUCCUUGGAGGACCUGGUCCCCUGAGGCCAAUAGAUCUGAAGGUCAGGCUGGGAGACGGGGACUGAGGCGGAUCCAGCUGCUCUUGAAGGGAGCACAAGAAAGGUGAGAGAAACACAAACAAAUUAGAAACAGUGACCGAGGCAAAAGCAUCUCACGGAUGAAGAGAAGCAAGAUCUCAGGACAGACUGGACGGCACCUUUGGUGGAGGGGUCUUUGGGGGCACUGUGCAAAGAGCACCCACAGUUACAACAGUUGGGGGUGCCCCUGAGGAGCCUGACCCCGGUCUGGGUGGACCAGGGAUUCACAUUUACUCAAAGCUCUGAGGUGACCCAAUGAGGUGAAGAAAACCAUUUAGGCACUAGGUCAGGUUCACCAUCAAUCUCACCAACCUCAGCUCAUCAAAGCUCUAUUUGAGGGUCUCUGGGGAGGCAGACACGACAGAUGGAGACACUGGUUUGCUUCAGCUCCAAGGAAGGUCAUCCAGAAACUCAAGGAAGCUAAGGAAGGAGCAGCAGAGGUGGACACUACGAAAGAGAGGGCCUGAUGGGAAACGGCUCCUUAGAGGCAAGUUGUCUGUCUCAUAAAGAGAGAAGCGCCAAGAUGUAUUUCAACAUCGGGCCAUUUGGGCAGAUAGAAGUCAUAACUUUAUAGCCUAGGGUUGGGACCCCAGGGCAAAAGGCAAGGGUGAGUGGGGCUUGGAGACCAGGAGGGAGCAAAGGUGGGACUCAGGCUGGCAGAGGACACAAGCCUGGCCAGGACCAGGACAGGUGAGGAACCAACCGGAGAGGCAGGCAAACCCAUCAAAUACAUACCUGAUCCUUUCCUGGUGGCCCAGUGGGUUAAGGAUCCGGCGUCGUCACUGCUGUGGCUCAGGUUCAGUCUCUGGCCCAGGAACUUCUGUGCACCGUGGACGCCACCAAAAAUAAAAAAAUAAAAAACAAACCA
rnacentral:lncRNA from 1 species